UGGGCUAGAACGCAUUCGGAAUCAGGCCGAAAGGCCUGCGUCCAGCGAUGGCCGCUUGCGAGGUGCUGCAUGGUUGUCGUCAGCUCGUGCCGUGAGGUGUCGGGUUAAGUCCCAUAACGAGCGCAACCCCUACUGCUAGUUGCCAGCGGGUCAUGCCGGGGACUCUAGCGGAACUGCCAGCGUAAGCUGCGAGGAAGUGGGGGAUGACGUCAAAUCAGCACGGCCCUUACGUCCAGGGCUACACACGUGUUACAAUGGCCGGUACAGAGGGCAGCCACCCCGCGAGGGGGCGCGAAUCCCGAAAGCCGGUCCCAGUUCGGAUCGGAGUCUGCAACCCGACUCCGUGAAGCUGGAUUCGCUAGUAAUCGCGCAUCAGCCACGGCGCGGUGAAUACGUUCCCGGGCCUU
rnacentral:rRNA from 1 species